rnacentral:rRNA from 1 species
UGGCGGCGUGCCUAAUACAUGCAAGUCGAACGGUCUUUCUAUGGAAGCUUGCUUCCACUGAAAAGAUAGUGGCGAACGGGUGAGUAACACGUGGGUAAUCUGCCCAUAAGAGGGGGAUAACAUCCGGAAACGGGUGCUAAUACCGCAUAGUUUUCUUGAUCGCAUGAUCGGGAAAGGAAAGACGGCCUUUGUGCUGUCGCUUAUGGAUGGACCCGCGGCGUAUUAGUUAGUUGGUGAGGUAACGGCUCACCAAGACGAUGAUACGUAGCCGACCUGAGAGGGUGAUCGGCCACAUUGGGACUGAGACACGGCCCAAACUCCUACGGGAGGCAGCAGUAGGGAAUCUUCCGCAAUGGACGAAAGUCUGACGGAGCAACGCCGCGUGAGUGAAAGAAGGUUUUCGGAUCGUAAAACUCUGUUGUCAGAGAAGAACAAGUUGGAGAGUAACUGCUCCAGCCUUGACGGUAUCUGACCAGAAAGCCACGGCUAACUACGUGCCAGCCGCCGC